GAAAAAGCCACCAGAUGGAGGAAAUUCACACAAAGUUUUGAGAGGCUAGUAACAGCGACUUUAAAAAGAGGAUGAUGAGGGCCGGCCUGGUGGCACAGGGGUUAAGUGCAUGCGUUCCGCUUCGGCGGCCCAGGGUUGGCUGCUUCGGAUCCUGGGUACAAACACGGCACUGCUCAGCAAGCCAUGCUGCGGGAUCAAGUCUUACAGACAAGGUUGACUGGGCUGAGUGAGUCACCGUGAAUCCAGAUUCCCAGGCAACCUCCAAAUCAACAUACAGAUCAGGGCAAAGGCCUGAACCUAAAGGAGGUUGUCUGCCGGGGACACUGACAGUAACCGUGUGGUCAGGAGGUUUGACCAGCACAAUCUGCACCAUGAUGAGGACCACAGAGAUUUUGAAACAAGACAAACCCAGCUCAAGGAAGACAUGGCAGGUCCUGAAGGCUGAGAGCCAGGGUCACCCAGGGACAAGAGCGCACAGUAUAAUCAGAGGCGUCCACAGCCACAGAACACCAGCUAUCAACUUACUCCUCAGACUGGACGCUAAUGAAGCCACUCCCUGCAGAUACACUAGGAGUUCAACAGGUCUCUCUCUCUGUUUUGUGCUGGUCUCAGCCUCUCAAUAACCAGUGUUGUGGUGGGACCAGCCCUUGUGGUUCUUGCUGUGAUUGUGACACGCCCUUCAGCAACAACCGUCAGGAAACUUAAAAAAAAAUAAAUAGAAUUUGUGACUUA
rnacentral:lncRNA from 1 species